CUACGGGGGGCAGCAGUGAGGAAUAUUGGUCAAUGGGCGAGAGCCUGAACCAGCCAUGCCGCGUGCAGGAUGACGGUUCUAUGAAUUGUAAACUGCUUUUCUACAGGAAGAAACCUACUCUCGUGAGAGUAGCUGCCGGUACUGUAGGAAUAAGCACCGGCUAACUCCGUGCCAGCAGCCGCGGUAAUACGGAGGGUGCUAGCGUUAUCCGGAUUUAUUGGGUUUAAAGGGUGCGUAGGCGGAAUAUUAAGUCAGUGGUGAAAUCCUGCGGCUCAACCGUAGAACUGCCAUUGAUACUGAUAUUCUUGAAUGUAGUUGAGGUAGGCGGAAUGUGUAAUGUAGCGGUGAAAUGCUUAGAUAUUACACAGAACACCGAUUGCGAAGGCAGCUUACUAAACUAUGAUUGACGCUGAGGCACGAAAGCGUGGGGAGCGAACAGGAUUAGAUACCCGCGUAGUC
rnacentral:rRNA from 1 species